UGCUCAUCAUGAAUACAAUAGUAGUAAGAACUGAGUCUUACUUCACUAUACAAAUAGGUAUAUAUGAUCGAAUAUAUUGAAACAAGAUGAUCAAAGUACGGAGGAUAGCUAGAUCUAUGCUUGUUCACAUUCUCAACAUAACGCGAUAGGCAAUAAUAGCUUACCUGAACUCAAGCAAUGGCAGAGUAACUGUGAUCAUCUGCAGUUGGACCCUGAGAAAGAAUGGUCAGAAACACAAAGACACCGUACAGAACGGUAGCAAUGGCAGUAAAGUUAACUAGGAAGGCCUCGGAACCAUAUUUAGCCAAACCGUUGACUUCCAGGAAUGUGAGCUUCUCAAGGAAUCCUAAACACGCAUUGCCAACAGCCACGACAUAUAUAAACAUCCCCAAAAGCACAUGCCAAGGAAGUGAAUCACGUCUGAUUUCAGAACUACCUCCAGGGUAGAAGAACACCACAAAUCCAUAAAUCCACUGAAUGCCAUAAAGAGUAAUAACUCCUAUUCCAAUCCAGGAAUGUAAACUGUACAUGUUGGGGAUGUUGCUUUCAUUGUGGUUCUUGAAUGCGGUAUAAAUUCCAAUUAUACCAAGUAUGAGCGCGAUAGCAUGUAAAACUAGAUGUAUUUUUUUCUUCACCUGCUUCUCCAGGGGGAAAGAUUUGUAACUUAUGAUAGCUUCUCCCCCGAGAAUAAUGAAGCCAAUAAGCAUAAGUACAGGGUGAAUAUUAAAGAUGAGAUUUUUGUUUUCAGCUUCCCAAGCUAAGCCACCUCUAAAGUGAAUAGACCAAACUAAGACCAUAAUAGCAGCAAUUAAGGCAAUAAAAUGUGCCCCAAAUGAAAAAGGCAGUGCCUUUAGCCCAGUUGCCAUCUUCUCUUUUGAUGAUAACAAUACAGACCAAGGGAUAAAAUGUUAUCUUAAUUUUAUCAACUGAAUUUG
rnacentral:misc_RNA from 1 species